CUCUGUCUAUUAUACUUGAUGUGGCCUCUUGGCUUAGUCUUGACCACAACCACCCAACUAGACUUGCAUGAACCCAGAUAAGGCAAAUAGUAUACCUGUCAUGCAUUUUGAGGUAGAAUAAAAGGAUCGUAGUGCCUAUAUUUCCAUGUUACAUUAACUUCAGUGAUAUCAUAGUCCUUGUGCAUUCGUGUUCCUUGUCAUAAACUUGGAUUGUACCAUUCACAUUUAAACAUGUACACUUUGUAUGUAGUACGACAGAAAUAU